GGUGGCUCAGUGGUAGAGUGCUUGCCUCGCAUGCAUGAGGCCGUGGAUUUGAUUCCUCAGCACCA
rnacentral:tRNA from 1 species